AACGAACGCUGGCGGCAGGCUUAACACAUGCAAGUCGAACGCCCCGCAAGGGGAGUGGCAGACGGGUGAGUAACACGUGGGAACAUGCCCAAAGGUACGGAAUAUUCUCGGGAAACUGGGAGCAAUACCGUAUGUGCCCGAAAGGGGAAAGAUUUAUCGCCUUUGGAUUGGCCCGCGUCAGAUUAGGUAGUUGGUGGGGUAAUGGCCUACCAAGCCGGCGAUCUGUAGCUGGUCUGAGAGGACGACCAGCGACACUGGGACUGAGACACGGCCCAGACUCCUCCGGGAGGCAGCAGUGGGGAAUCUUGGACAAUGGGCGCAAGCCUGAUCCAGCCAUGCCGCGUGGAUGAUGAAGGCCCUAGGGUUGUAAAACCCUUUCGUUGGGGACGAUAAUGACGGUACCCAAAGAAGAAGCUCCGGCUAACUUCGUGCCAGCCGCCGCCGUAA
rnacentral:rRNA from 1 species